GAUGAACGCUAGCGGCAGGCUUAACACAUGCAAGUCGGGCGGCAGCGGGGUGGGAGCUUGCUCCCACUGCCGGCGAGCGGCGCACGGGUGAGUAACACGUAUGCAACCUGCCCCUGUCAGGGGGACAACCCGCCGAAAGGCGGGCUAAUCCCGCGUAUCUCGCCCCGGGGCAUCCCGGGGGGAGGAAAGGAGCGAUCCGGACAGGGAUGGGCAUGCGGCGCAUUAGCUGGUCGGCGGGGUAACGGCCCACCGAGGCGACGAUGCGUAGGGGUUCUGAGAGGAAGGCCCCCCACACUGGUACUGAGACACGGACCAG
rnacentral:rRNA from 1 species